rnacentral:rRNA from 1 species
UCGGGAAUUUUGGGCAAUGGGGGAAACCCUGACCCAGCAACGCCGCGUGAAGGAUGAAGUAUUUCGGUAUGUAAACUUCGAAAGAAUAGGAAGAAUAAAUGACGGUACUAUUUAUAAGGUCCGGCUAACUACGUGCCAGCAGCCGCGGUAAUACGUAGGGACCAAGCGUUGUUCGGAUUUACUGGGCGUAAAGGGCGCGUAGGCGGCAUGACAAGUCACUUGUGAAAUCUCUGGGCUUAACCCAGAACGGCCAAGUGAUACUGUCGCGCUAGAGUGCAGAAGGGGCAAUCGGAAUUCUUGGUGUAGCGGUGAAAUGCGUAGAUAUCAAGAGGAACACCUGAGGUGAAGACGGGUUGCUGGGCUGACACUGACGCUGAGACGCGAAAGCGUGGGGAGCAAACAGGAUUAGAUACCCAAGUAGCCCUGAGCGGGCUGGCAAGGCGCAU